UACGUAGGUGGCAAGCGUUAUCCGGAAUUAUUGGGCGUAAAGAGCUCGUAGGCGGUUUGUCGCGUCUGCUGUGAAAACUGGAGGCUCAACCUCCAGCCUGCAGUGGGUACGGGCAGACUAGAGUGUGGUAGGGGAGACUGGAAUUCCUGGUGUAGCGGUGAAAUGCGCAGAGUAUCAGGAGGAACACCGAUGGCGAAGGCAGGUCUCUGGGCCACUACUGACGCUGAGAAGCGAAAGCCAUGGGGAGCGAACAGG
rnacentral:rRNA from 1 species